UCAAUUGAAGUUUUUUGGGAGGCGGCUUGGCCCUUUCCACAAUAAAUUUCUUUCAUCCAGAAUCCCAGACAUUUUAUGUAUACUAUUUGUGACAGGAUACAUAAACAUAUGUCUUGCAAACUAAAUAGGAGGUGUAAUACCCCUUAGUCUUUAAGUAAACAUUCAUGCUUACAUUGCUGGAUUCUUGGAAACUUUCUUUUAAGAAGUAUUUUCAUUUGAUGUAGCCUAUGCAAAGACAAGGUGAUUACAAGUGCAUUGUAGUGUAUGACCAAAGAAUGAUCCUGCCACAUUGAAACUCAUCAUUGAAGCAGUUGUCAGUUUUACCAAGCACUUGCAGUAUUGCAUUGUUUUAGUCUAUGAAUGAAUGACAUGAAUCCUGAAGCUCUGAAAUUCUCUAAAAGCCAAGAACUAAAAAGAAAUACUAUUGAGCAUAUAAUCCCCAUGUAGCAGAUGGGGCCAUUUUCAAGGUCUUCAAAUGUUUGUUAGAUAUAUGUAGGUCACGAAGAGUCGGAAACAACUGAGUGAAUGAAGAAGAAGAUGCGUAUAUGUGUUAUUUACAUUUAUUGGCAGGCUAAUGGCUGCCCAUCUCUAUUUCUUAAUUUUGGGGAUAUUAGAUAACAAAAAUAGAGGCUGAAUUUAUCAAAGAAAAUGUCUUCAUUUUGGGGAGGUAGAAACAGGAUUAUGUUAUACCCUGAAUGAAGAUGAACGUUAAACUACAAUUCUAAGAAUCAUCCCCCCAUUCACUUUGGUCUACAGCUCAAUUUUGUCAGCUUCCUGUUAACAAUUUACACAAAAGUACAUGCAGAUUGUGCACGCCUAACCCUUUUUGGAAGCGGUGCAGAGAGCUAUUUGUGUGACCUUGCACUCCAUCCAAAGGCUUCUCACUGAUAGCAAGUGUCAAGCUGCAGGAACAGGCCUUACGGAUCAUGCUUACUGGGGAGAGAGGAGGCAAUUCAGACAAUAAAGAUCUGACUGACUGCUCUGUGCUCUCAGUGGAAGGAAAGGUCGGGUUCUUCCCUCUGAGAAUGGCCUGUCAUUUCUCUCCUGAUGCAAGCUGAAACCAGACGUGUCUACUGAAUCACUUCUUCCUCUUCUGCUUCCAACUGUGACUUCCAAAACGUCUCCAAUGAAGAGAAUAAAACUUUCUGUUUCACAAGCAAAGUCAAGUCAACCCUCCACAUUUGCAGGGCAUGCUGUUUCCCCCAUAAGGUAAGAUAAUGUAGCUGUUGCAAUUUUCCCUCUUGUGUAUAUUUUUAAAUCUCAAUAUCACACUCAUAUCUAUUUGCUGCCUGUAAUUUUGUUCACUUCUCAACUAGGACUACCUAACUGAAAACCAGGGCAAUCUCUCCUGUACGUUUAAUGGUUGUGUAGAAGAGGGAUUUCAGCAGGUGCUUGUCAGGCAGCCAGGUAACAAGCACACUUGCUGUAAUCCUAUAAAAUACAUCUGUCAUAAAGAAAGGUUUCACAAUUGUAAAUCAAUUGCAAUUGUUUUAGAACCCUCUGGAGCUCAUAAAACAUGAACAAAAAUAUUCUUAAUAAGUGAAAUCCAAGAUAAAAUAUCCAAUUCUGAAAGGAGCAAAGAGUUCCAAGACGACUCUAGUGAGAUUUCACAGAUAAAUUUCCACAUUUCUGAUUUUUUGUUUCCUUUGUGAGCUAGUCCACAAAGUAGCAAUUUUAAUAUAACGAAUUUGUCCAUUUAAAAUUCAGUCUUAAUCAACUAGUAUGAGCAAGGGCACCAGUGACACAAUGGGUUCCAGAUGAAGUGCUGAUCUGAAGGUUGGUGAUUUGAAUCCGCGAGACAGGGUAAGCUUCCGUCUGUCAGCCCUAGCUUACAGGGACAUGAAAGAAGCCUCCCAGCAAGUUAGUAACACAUCCGGGUGUCCCCUGGGCAACGUCUUUGUAGACGGCCAUUUCUCUCACACCAGAAGUGACUUCCAGUAUGUUCACUUCUGGCACCAUUAAAAAAAACUAGUAUGGGCCAGGUCUUGACUAAAUCUGUUCUGGACUUUUCUGGCAUAAUAUAAAGAGCCUUCUAAACUAUACUGGUUUUCAGUGAAUAUUAGUUAUUUUGCACCAAGAAAAAUAAAUAAAAUGGCUAAUCAAAUAGAAGUAUUUGGAUGUUACCUAACACACAAAGUAUUCUUUUGGGGACAAAUGCUCCAUUUACCAGCCAAAAGGAGAGGCUGGGCCAUAGUUAGUAACUACACAGUCCUGGUGCAAUUGCAUAGUAAUUAUGUGUUCCAGCAAAGUUAAACAGCUUGGUAAUUAUGUUCAGUGGUUCCCAAAAUAUCAUUUAACACGCGUCCUGGUUUGUAAAACUAAAAUAAUGAUGAGUUUGCUUGGUGAUUACAUAGCGCUUACCACAUAUAUGUUCUGCCAGUGCACGAUAGCUAUAUACCCUGUCAUUAAAUAUCACAAUUUUUCAGGUCAUAGAAAGGAUCUCUAAACAGUUCCGCCUGUAUAUUGAAGCUUCAUUGGAAAUGCAGCACACGUAUUCACGGGGCUAUUCUUCUAUAUGGACACAUUGCAAAGCCUUCAGAUGAACUUCAUGUAGAAGUCUUUCUUCUAGAUCCCUGAUGCCAAUUAGUAAGGAGAGAGCAGUUUUAAAGGCACAUGCCUCCUGCUCCCAUGCCUAUUUACUCACAAAUAACUGAAUUCAGCGGGCUUUCUCUCCUCAUACAAAAGAGCAAUUUCUCAAAAGUAAAUCUCAUGGAAUUUAAUAAGACUCACUUACUCCUGACUCCAGGUUUCCAUCUUUUCUUCAUCAUGCUCCUGUGGCUUUAACAAUUUGAGUUCAGUACUCUGGUUUUAAUUAUCCUUUCACACCAUAUAGUUAUAGCGCUAUACUCCAAAUUAGCUGUCAUCAGAGUGUCCCAUGUAGGUGUGAUGUCUCAUGGGCCUUGUAGUCCCGUUCCUAGUACUAUUGUGGCAGACGAAGAGGAAAACAUGGGAUUUUCACCGGUUCAGCCAGAAUCGGAGCCUCUGCACCUGGAGGAUGUUUGCCCUCAAGAAGUCAGCCAAACAAGCCUUGGGCAGAAUUUUCCCCCGUUUUCUCGAAAGGACAAUUAUAAUAGAGAUAGAGGAGCGAGGGAGGCGAAUCGCCGGAGCCUCAGAAUCGCAGCCAAACAAUUAGCUGAUUAGGUCUGCUUCCCUUGGGAAAUUCUAAGGAGUCAUGCAUCUGGACAGAGUUGGGUUUCACUUCUAGUUCUCCGGGGAAAGUGUUCUUCUGGCGGGAAACGAGACCCUAUUUAGGUGUUUUGCCGCGAAGGAAACCUUGCGGAGUCAACUCGUCAGCUUGAGGAGUGAGAUCGUGUGUGCACUUCGUAAUCCCCAGUUCCUUGUUUCCAGGACCAAGUUCCAAGCCUGCCUUGUUUCACGUUUGCCGCGGACCUCGCCACGGACCUUGUUCUUGCUUCUUGUUUGCCUCGUAUCAAGUCUUGUCUAGCCAAGUAUCAAGUUUGUUUUCCAGCCUUGUUGUCAAGCUUCAAUGGACUAAAAGACCUUGUCAUCUCCCCACACUAUUGCUUAGCAAAGUGUGUGUUUCGGUUAUUGGAUUAUAACUUUGGACUCUAAUAUCACAUAUUGGACAUUGUUUUCCUGGACUAUAUUUGACCUUUCCUGAAAGGUCUACUUCUGAACUAUAUUCUUCACUUGUUUUUAUUGACUUUAUAUAUUCCUAUAAUAAAGAUAUUAGAUAGAA